CUGGAGGUAUCAGAAGUGCGAAUGCUGACAUAAGUAACGAUAAAGCGGGUGAAAAGCCCGCUCGCCGGAAGACCAAGGGUUCCUGUCCAACGUUAAUCGGGGCAGGGUGAGUCGACCCCUAAGGCGAGGCCGAAAGGCGUAGUCGAUGGGAAACGGGUUAAUAUUCCCGUACUUGGUGUUACUGCGAAGGGGGGACGGAGAAGGCUAUGUUGGCCGGGCGACGGUUGUCCCGGUUUAAGCGUGUAGGUGUGUGUUCCAGGUAAAUCCGGUUCACUUUAACACUGAGGCGUGAUGACGAGGCACUACGGUGCUGAAGCAACAAAUGCCCUGCUUCCAGGAAAAGCCUCUAAGCAUCAGGUAACAUCAAAUCGUACCCCAAACCGACACAGGUGGUCAGGUAGAGAAUACCAAGGCGCUUGAGAGAACUCGGGUGAAGGAACUAGGCAAAAUGGUGCCGUAACUUCGGGAGAAGGCACGCUGACAUGUAGGUGAAGUGAUUUACUCAUGGAGCUGAAGUCAGUCGAAGAUACCAGCUGGCUGCAACUGUUUAUUAAAAACACAGCACUGUGCAAACACGAAAGUGGACGUAUACGGUGUGACGCCUGCCCGGUGCCGGAAGGUUAAUUGAUGGGGUCAGCGCAAGCGAAGCUCCUGAUCGAAGCCCCGGUAAACGGCGGCCGUAACUAUAACGGUCCUAAGGUAGCGAAAUUCCUUGUCGGGUAAGUUCCGACCUGCACGAAUGGCGUAAUGAUGGCCAGGCUGUCUCCACCCGAGACUCAGUGAAAUUGAACUCGCUGUGAAGAUGCAGUGUACCCGCGGCAAGACGGAAAGACCCCGUGAACCUUUACUAUAGCUUGACACUGAACAUUGAGCCUUGAUGUGUAGGAUAGGUGGGAGGCUUUGAAGCGUGGACGCCAGUCUGCGUGGAGCCGACCUUGAAAUACCACCCUUUAAUGUUUGAUGUUCUAACGUGGACCCGUGAUCCGGGUUGCGGACAGUGUCUGGUGGGUAGUUUGACUGGGGCGGUCUCCUCCUAAAGAGUAACGGAGGAGCACGAAGGUUGGCUAAUCCUGGUCGGACAUCAGGAGGUUAGUGCAAUGGCAUAAGCCAGCUUGACUGCGAGCGUGACGGCGCGAGCAGGUGCGAAAGCAGGUCAUAGUGAUCCGGUGGUUCUGAAUGGAAGGGCCAUCGCUCAACGGAUAAAAGGUACUCCGGGGAUAACAGGCUGAUACCGCCCAAGAGUUCAUAUCGACGGCGGUGUUUGGCACCUCGAUGUCGGCUCAUCACAUCCUGGGGCUGAAGUAGGUCCCAAGGGUAUGGCUGUUCGCCAUUUAAAGUGGUACGCGAGCUGGGUUUAGAACGUCGUGAGACAGUUCGGUCCCUAUCUGCCGUGGGCGCUGGAGAACUGAGGGGGGCUGCUCCUAGUACGAGAGGACCGGAGUGGACGCAUCACUGGUGUUCGGGUUGUCAUGCCAAUGGCACUGCCCGGUAGCUAAAUGCGGAAGAGAUAAGUGCUGAAAGCAUCUAAGCACGAAACUUGCCCCGAG
rnacentral:rRNA from 2 species